UACGAAGGGGGCUAGCGUUGCUCGGAAUCACUGGGCGUAAAGCGCACGUAGGCGGAUCUUUAAGUCAGGGGUGAAAUCCUGGAGCUCAACUCCAGAACUGCCUUUGAUACUGGCGAUCUUGAGUCCGGAAGAGGUGAGUGGAACUCCUAGUGUAGAGGUGGAAUUCGUAGAUAUUAGGAAGAACACCAGUGGCGAAGGCGGACUCACUGGUCCGGUACUGACGCUGAGGUGCGAAAGCGUGGGGAGCAACAGGGAUAAGAAACCUUGUACGUCCA
rnacentral:rRNA from 1 species